CUGUACUUGGUGUUACUGCGAAGGGGGGACGGAGAAGGCUAUGUUAGCCGGGCGACGGUUGUCCCGGUUUAAGCAUGUAGGCUGGUUAUCCAGGCAAAUCCGGAUAAUCAAGGCUGAGGUGUGAUGACGAGGUACUACGGUGCUGAAGUAACAAAUGCCCUGCUUCCAGGAAAAGCCUCUAAGCAUCAGGUAACAUCAAAUCGUACCCCAAACCGACACA
rnacentral:rRNA from 1 species